AGCAGCCGCGGUAAUUCCAGCUCCAAUAGCGUAUAUUAAAGUUGUUGCAGUUAAAAAGCUCGUAGUUGAACUUCGGGGUCUACCCAUUGGUCAGGCUUAAUUGUCUGCACUGGUGAGAUGGAUCUCUACCUUCUGAGGAACUUUCAUGCCAUUUAUUUGGUGUGGUUGGAAAUCAGGACUGUUACUUUGAAAAAUUAGAGUGUUUAAAGCAGACUAUCGUCUGAAUACAUUAGCAUGGAAUAAUGAAAUAGGACGGACUGAUUCUAUUCGUUGGUUUCUAGGAUCACCGUAAUGAUUAAUAGGGAUAGGUUGGGGGCAUUAGUAUUCAAUUGUACAGAGGUGAAAUUCUUGGAUUUAUUGAAGACUAACUACUGCGAAAGCUAUUUGCCAAGGAUGUUUUCAUUAAUCAAGAACGAAAGUUAGGGGAUCGAAGACGAUCAGAUACCGUCGUAGUCUUAACCAUAAACUAUGCCGACUAGGGAUCGGGAACGUAAGUUAAAUUUUAGUAAUUGACGUCGUC
rnacentral:rRNA from 1 species